AUUGAACGCUGGCGGCAGGCCUAACACAUGAAGUCGAGCGGAUGAAGGGAGCUUGCUCCUGGAUUCAGCGGCGGACGGGUGAGUAAUGCCUAGGAAUCUGCCUGGUAGUGGGGGAUAACGUCCGGAAACGGGCGCUAAUACCGCAUACGUCCUGAGGGAGAAAGUGGGGGAUCUUCGGACCUCACGCUAUCAGAUGAGCCUAGGUCGGAUUAGCUAGUUGGUGGGGUAAAGGCCUACCAAGGCGACGAUCCGUAACUGGUCUGAGAGGAUGAUCAGUCACACUGGAACUGAGACACGGUCCAGACUCCUACGGGAGGCAGCAGUGGGGAAUAUUGGACAAUGGGCGAAAGCCUGAUCCAGCCAUGCCGCGUGUGUGAAGAAGGUCUUCGGAUUGUAAAGCACUUUAAGUUGGGAGGAAGGGCAGUAAGUUAAUACCUUGCUGUUUUGACGUUACCAACAGAAUAAGCACCGGCUAACUUCGUG
rnacentral:rRNA from 1 species